GUUAUGUUUUUCGUUAGUUAAACUUGACACUUUUACUUCGCGUGAUUUCGAACGUUAAAAAAUCUUUUUUUUUUUUUUGUGGUUCAUCGUUGUAAUACCUUUGCAUUGUCGUCUUUGACGUGAAAGUAUCAUUCUCGUAAGCCUGUGACAUUGCACAGUUUGUAAGUGGAAGCGACUUUGGAAACCGCCAGCAGAUUGAUCAGUCGUCAAAGCGUGAAGUCCUCGGCCCCGGACCUGAAAACAACCGCUUUUCGCCUUCGGCAUUUUAACCAUUUGAGGUAACGUUUGCGCUGCUGGGGAGAUAGAAUUCAAGAUGGAAUACAGGGAGAUACAGUGGAUUAAGGCCCUACAAAGGAGUAGACACCGUCAACAAUGGUUCUAGCGCUUUCUUCUUGGCGAUGGGGAUAGUCGAUCGCAGAUAUUUGACGGUAUUUUAUGCAAGAAAAACAAGUUGGACAAGAAAGCAAGACUUCUAAAGGGUACGGAACGCAGAAGAACGGAUCAUCACAGUGUUUUACCAUCGUUGUUCAUCGUUUGGACGCGUCGAACACCGUGACACCUUGUGCGUUGCGGCAGUGUGUGCUUAUGAAUGGAUACGGUUUUAAAGGUACGUAAGUGUUGAAUAAAGUCAUUUGUUG